rnacentral:lncRNA from 1 species
UAAUAACAAAUUUUUAAUAUUUGUCCUUAAGUUAGAGACAAAAGAGAUAUUUUAACCUUUUGCCCUUCAAAUAAUAUAUUAUUAUCAACUUUUUUUAUUUGUCCUUAAGUUAGGAACAAAAUAAAUAUUUUGACACUUUUUAAUUCUGUAGAAAUUUAAUAUGGGUUUAAACCCGAGAUAUCUUAUCGGGCAACUGGAUUUUUUUUUAAUAACGGAAAAUUACAUGAACGGUAUAUUUGGAAAAAAAGAAAAGAAAAGAAGAGUAGAGUAUAUAAAAUAUUUCAAAAGUUUGGAGGGGUAUAUAGCAUAGGGAAUUAGGCUGGAAUACUAUCAACAGCACCAAGCUAUUGGUGUUAUUGAUUUUUUAACCCUUGGAUUGAGAAAUGUGCGGUUAGAAUGAUGUGGGCCUUCUAGGGUUGAGUGGGUGGUUGGUGGAAUAGUAUAAUCCAACGAAUAAAAAUAAUCAAAAGAUUAAAUCUAACGGUGGAAAACUCGAUAGCUCCAAACCCUUGGUGCUAUCGAUAGUAUCCCAGCCGGACUCAUAAUAUAGGUAAUUAUUUCUAUUAUUAAAUAUCUCUACUAAGCUGACAACUUAUCAAACUUAUCAUCGGAAAAUUAAUUUUCAAAAUUUUAACAAAUUUUUGAAUAAAAAGUAAAUAAAAUAAAAUGAUAUAUCACGCACUUAAUAGAGAAUUAAAAAAAUAAGGUGUAAACUAUAAAAUUUAAACUAUAUUUUCAAUGAAAGGAUCAAAAGAUAACGUGUGACUGAAUUGUCUCGCACGAAAUGGUUGAGGGUGACAUUGUCAAUUUUUUUGAUUUAAGUAAUGUUUAAAACUCUCGGAUUAAUUUCAUACAAAUCCCUGCACAUAUAGUAAAUUGCGAAUAUGUUUCUAUAAAGUUUAACUUUCAUAUAUUGUUCCUACAAAAGGCUUAAUGUUUUUAAAUAUGUUCUUUUUGUUUGUUACUGUUAAAUUUCCGUCUAUUUUAUAAAUAAAAUAAUCUUUUUAUCAUCACAAAUAUGUCCCUCCAAAAAUUAUAAUGAUAUAACAUAAGAGGUGUACAAAUACCAAAAACUAACUAGGGUUGAGUAUUUAACCUAUAGUUAAUUAAAUUUUUCUAACAAAUUCUAAAGAUAGAGACAUAUUUGAAAACAUUAAAACUUUUACAGAAACAAUAUAUAAAAGUUGAAUUUUGUAGGGAUAUAACUGUAAUUUACUAUGUUUAUAGGGACCUGUAUGU